UACGGAGGGUGCAAGCGUUGUCCGGAUUCAUUGGGUUUAAAGGGUGCGCAGGCGGGACAUUAAGUCAGGGGUGAAAGACGGUUGCUCAACAAUCGCAGUGCCUUUGAUACUGGUGUUCUUGGGUAACCUUGAGGUAGGCGGAAUGGGUGGUGUAGCGGUGAAAUGCAUAGAUACCACCCAGAACUCCGAUUGCGAAGGCAGCCUACUGGAGGUCAACCGACGCUCAGGCACGGAAGCGUGGGGAUCAAACAGG
rnacentral:rRNA from 1 species